rfam:Triticum aestivum genome assembly, contig: Triticum_aestivum_CS42_TGACv1_scaffold_486122_6AS
CAUUUACUCCCUCCUUUUCAAAUUACUUGUCGCAAAAGAAAUGUAUUUAAACGUAUUUUUAAUUCUAAAUACAUUUAUUUCUAUCCAUUUUUACAACAAGUAAUUUGUGACAGAGGGAGUACUUG